rnacentral:rRNA from 1 species
GGGUGCGUAACGCGUAUGCAAUCUACCUUUUACAGAGGGAUAGCCCAGAGAAAUUUGGAUUAAUACCUCAUAGUAUAGUGACUCGGCAUCGAGAUACUAUUAAAGUCACAACGGUAAAAGAUGAGCAUGCGUCCCAUUAGCUAGUUGGUAAGGUAACGGCUUACCAAGGCUACGAUGGGUAGGGGUCCUGAGAGGGAGAUCCCCCACACUGGUACUGAGACACGGACCAGACUCCUACGGGAGGCAGCAGUGAGGAAUAUUGGACAAUGGGCGCAAGCCUGAUCCAGCCAUGCCGCGUGCAGGAUGACGGUCCUAUGGAUUGUAAACUGCUUUUGUAC